UGCUUCUCCCCAGAUAAGUGUGUGUAAGUGUCGAGCUUGUUCGCAAAUAGGUGUGUGUCAGUGUCGUGCUUCUUCCCAAAUAAGUGUGAGUUAGUGUAGUGCUUCUUCCCAAAUAGGUGUGUGUCAUUGUAGUGAUUGUGCCCAAGUAGGUGUGUGUCAGUGUAGUGCUUGUCCCCAAAUAGGUGUGUGUCAGUGUGGUGCUUCUUCCCAAACAGGAGUGUGUCAGUGUAGUGCUUCUUCAAAAAUAGGUGUGUGUCAGUGUACUGCUUCUUCCCAAAUAGGUGUGUGUCUGUGUAGUGCUUCUUCCCAAAUAGGUGUGUGUCUGUGUAAAGCUUCUUCCCAAAUAAGUGUGUGUCAGUGUAGUGCUUCCUCCCAUGUAAGUGUGUGUAAG